CCAUACAGCACAGAUCGUUGUUGCUAUAUUACAGCAAUAUUGCUACAAUAUAACAACAAUGGUCUGUGUUGUAGACAUAAAACAUUUAUAUCCGCCAGUUACACACGUAGUAAUAGCUAUCUUACAAGUAUUACGACUAUUGCAUUUGGGUCACGAUGUUAUGCACGAUGCAGAAUUACACAUCAUGGUUAUUAAUUGCCUUGUUUAUGACACAUUUGUAUUUGCUGUGGCGAUGCAUUCGGUGUCAUUUAGAUCAGUGUCUUUGCAGUAAAAGUAUAUAUACAGUGUAUAAAAAUUUAUUAAAAUAUUUCAACAUAGGUUUCUCCUAGAAUUUUCAUAAGUUACAUAAUAUACAUAUUUAAAUAAGUUUGCAGCUAAAUGCAAAGCUGUUGUCGUUUUGUUUGCUUUAAUAUUUUAUUAGAUUUAACGAAUAUUGCAACUAUGAAACAACAACGUUUGCGCUAAACCAUGAUGGAAUCGACAAGAUUAUUACGAGGGAAUUUGGAUCGUGUCCUCGGAUGUGAAGAAAAAAAACACGAUAGGACUCGGACGCAAAACAGGUGAACGAACAAGCCCAUGAGGCAAUACCUGUACCAUCGGAGGCGGUGGAGAUAAUCCCCCCAUUGGUGGCGGUGGUGGACCCAUCAUCAUCCCUGGCAUAGGUGGUGCUGGGGGUCCUUUCAUGCCAGGCAUAGGUGGAGGUGGAGGUCCUUUCGAGCCGGGCAUAGGUGGUGGAGGUGGACAAGUCAUUCCGGGCACUGGAGGUGGA